AACGAACGCUGGCGGCAUGCCUAACACAUGCAAGUCGAACGAGACCUUCGGGCUUAGUGGCGCACGGGUGCGUAACGCGUGGGAACCUGCCCUUAGGUUCGGAAGAACUCCCCGAAAGGGGUGCUAAUACCGGAGAAUGUCUUCCGACCAAAGAUUUAUCGCCUUUGGAUGGGCCUGCGUUGGAUUAGCUAGUUGGUAGGGUAAAAGCCUACCAAGGCGACGAUCCAUAGCUGGGCAGAGAGGAAGAGCAGCCACACUGGGACUGAGACACGGCCCAGACUCCUACGGGAGGCAGCAGUGGGGAAUAUUGGACAAUGGGCGAAGGCCUGAUCCAGCAAUGCCGCGUGAGUGAUGAAGGCCUUAGGGUAGUAAAGCUCUUUUACCCGGGAUGAUAAUGACAGUACCGGGAGAAUAAGCUCCGGCUAACUCCGUG
rnacentral:rRNA from 1 species